AAAGCUAUGAGCCAUUCAAACCCAUCUCUUGUCUGUAUUUUUUAAUGGGUUCUUACUGUUUUUAUCUCUUUUGAUCUCUUCCUCUUCUCCGGUAUUCUUUAUAAAGGAUACAGUUUUUCUUUCAAAUCUCUGCUUCUUGAAGAACUUGUGUAUGUUCAGGCAACCUGUAGAUAGAGAGAGAAGAGGGUAUUGAGGUUUUUUAUCAAUGGCUGGUAUGUUGCCUGGUGUUGAAUGUGCUCGUCGGAGACGGUUCCAUCAGAGCAGCGGUGAUUCACUCGGUGGCGCUGCUGCCUUUGGCUCAACAAGGAGAUCUUCUUUUUGCUUGUACACAAGCAACCAUGAAGCUUCUCAUCCUUCAAUCUCUUCUAUGCAAAGAAGCAUAGCAAACCAGGCUUGUGAGGAUGAGAAGCUGGGAGGAUUGGCAAGACAAGCCAAGCAGAGAUUAGAUGAGAGGCUAAGAACACAGGGAAAAUCAGCAUCCAAAAGCACAGGAAGCUUGAGGAGUGCAGAAUUGCAGACAGAAGUGUAUGGUUCAAAGAAAAAUAGUAAUGGGUCAAAUAGGAAGUUCAAUUGGGCAAAAUUGAGCUGGAAAGCUGCUGACCAAGAUGAGUGCACCAUAUGCCUCGAAAGUUUCAAGUCUGGUGAGACCCUGGUGCACCUACCAUGUGCACAUAGGUUCCAUUGCAGAUGCUUGGUGCCUUGGCUAGAGAACAAUGGUCACUGCCCUUGUUGCAGAAUGGAAAUUCAUGUUGAACUUUCCUGAUAAUAAUAUUCCUCCAUAAUUAUUAAUUUUUCAUUUCUUUUUUCAUGUUUUUGUAGAUAUAUGUGCCAAAGAGAAUUUAGAAAAGGACUAUUGUUGUAGUCUUGUAGAGCUGUGUGCCACGGCUGCAGCCAUGAGAUUGUGAGUUCAAUCCCUUCUUCUGACGU
rnacentral:misc_RNA from 1 species